AUAUUUAACUGCUACGAGGGAAGCCGUGAUCAUUAAGGCGGUUCAUCAGGGUGAGGGCUGCACUUCCUAUGGGUUUGAUCUCCUCCAUCAUACCAAAUAUGCAUAACUAGAGAGCGUCAUUUCUGAUAGUGGGGAUCUGCGUGCGCUCUCAUCUCAU
rnacentral:snRNA from 1 species